GUGCUCAAAGUAGAUGCGGGUCUUCUCUGACGGGAUCUCACAGCAUUGUGGAAAAUUGAUAUGGAUGGGAAAGUGAAUGAAGCAGUUGAGAUAUGCUUUGGGUCUUUUCACCGUUAUGCACAAUAUAUGAAUUUCUCACACCCCUUGAUCAAGGAGAAGUUUGAACUUGAUGCGUGGAGGAAGGGAAAAUGCAUUGAAGCAGAAUCUU